UAUUUAGUUAAAAAUUUUAUAUACAUCAUAGCAUAUCAAGUUUGGAAACUAUUACCGACCGUCUCUAGCGCAAGUGACAAAAAAUUUGAUUGUUGAUACCCAAUAUCUCAAAUUCGAAUCCUAAUUGAUUUACAUUUUCAGCGAAAUUUAUUUUUAAAAAAAAUAAACGAAACACGUAGAAUGCUAUCUUUCUCUCUAAAAAAAAAAAAUUUGGAAACUAUUGUGUUCAGCAUAGUCUAUUGGAUCAGACAAAUCUAGUAAAAAAUUAUCAUCUUCCCU
rnacentral:lncRNA from 1 species